UUGGGAAUAGCUCAGUCGGUAGAGCAUGUGAUUCUUAAUCUCAGGAUCGUGGGUUCACAUUGGGCAAAAUAUUCCCGCACUGAA